rnacentral:rRNA from 1 species
CCAGAGAACUUUCCAGAGAUGGAUUGGUGCCUUCGGGGAACUCUGAGACAGGUGCUGCAUGGCUGUCGUCAGCUCGUGUUGUGAAAUGUUGGGUUAAGUCCCGCAACGAGCGCAACCCUUAUCCUUUGUUGCCAGCGGUUAGGCCGGGAACUCAAAGGAGACUGCCAGUGAUAAACUGGAGGAAGGUGGGGAUGACGUCAAGUCAUCAUGGCCCUUACGAGUAGGGCUACACACGUGCUACAAUGGCGCAUACAAAGAGAAGCGACCUCGCGAGAGCAAGCGGACCUCAUAAAGUGCGUCGUAGUCCGGAUUGGAGUCUGCAACUCGACUCCAUGAAGUCGGAAUCGCUAGUAAUCGUGGAUCAGAAUGCCACGGUGAAUACGUUCCCGGGCCUUGUACACACCGCCCGUCACACCAUGGGAGUGGGUUGCAAAAGAAGUAGGUAGCUUAACCUUCGGGAGGGCGCUUACCACUUUGUGAUUCAUGACUGGGGUGAAGUCGUAACAAGGUAAGCGUAGAUGA